GUUCAACACAAAGAUCAGAUGAGAUUUAUCUUCAGAAAGGAAAAGCAUAUUACAUUGAAAUCUUGCUGCAAGAGUAUACAUUGAGUGCUUUUGUUGAUGUUGGACUGUACCAAUAUAAUAAUGUCUUCACCGAGCAGCAGACAGGAGAUGCAGUAAAUGAAGAACAAGUCAUCAAAUCU
rnacentral:lncRNA from 1 species